rnacentral:rRNA from 1 species
AGCAGUGGGGAAUAUUGCACAAUGGGCGCAAGCCUGAUGCAGCGACGCCGCGUGAGGGAUGAAGGCCUUCGGGUUGUAAACCUCUUUCAGCAGGGACGAAGCGAGAGUGACGGUACCUGCAGAAGAAGCGCCGGCCAACUACGUGCCAGCAGCCGCGGUAAGACGUAGGGCGCGAGCGUUGUCCGGAUUUAUUGGGCGUAAAGAGCUCGUAGGCGGCUUGUUGCGUCGACCGUGAAAACCCGGGGCUCAACUUCGGGCUUGCGGUCGAUACGGGCGGGCUAGAGUUCGGUAGGGGAGACUGGAAUUCCUGGUGUAGCGGUGAAAUGCGCAGAUAUCAGGAGUAACACCGGUGGCGAAGGCGGGUCUCUGGGCCGAUACUGACGCUGAGGAGCGAAAGCGUGGGGAGCGAACAGGAUUAGAUACCCUGGUAGUCCACGCUGUAAACGUUGGGCGCUAGGUGUGGGGGGCCUCUCCGGUUCCCUGUGCCGCAGCUAACGCAUUAGGCGCCCCGCCUGGGGAGUACGGCCGCAAGGCUAAAACUCAAAGGAAUUGACGGAAGC